UUAUUUGAAACGGGACACAACCCCUAACACUGGGCCUAUCUAGAUGUACUAAAUAAAGUGGGCCUAAAAGCAGCCACCUUCCAAAAAGCGUUAAAGCUUAGUGUACCAAUAUCUACAAUUCCAUAAUUUCUACUUAACCCUUUAUUACUACUGAACCAUUUUAUACCCAUAUAAAAGCGAUUAUGCUAGAACUAGUAACAAGAAAUUGCCUUUCUCCCAAUGUAUGCUUGAACCAAAAUGGACACUCCACUGGUAACUAACGCAAAUGAAGCACCAUAGCACCCUACAGCCAGAAAACCCUAUGUUUACCCAACGUCAGCCUUACACUAGAACAUUACAGGAAAGAUUAAAAGAGAAAGAAGGAACUCGGCAAAUCACAGUCCCGCCUGUUUACCAAAAACAUCGCCUCUUGCCUAAACAUAAGAGGUCCAGCCUGCCCAGUGACAUAGUUUAACGGCCGCGGUACCCUAACCGUGCGAAGGUAGCAUAAUCACUUGUUCUUUAAAUAAGGACUAGUAUCAACGGCAUCACGAGGACUGUACUGUCUCCUUUCUCCAAUCAGUGAAACUGAUCUCCCCGUGAAGAAGCGGGGAUAAACUU
rnacentral:rRNA from 1 species